AGAAAUUUAGGUUAAAUANAGACCGAAAGCCUUCAAAGCUCUUAGUAAGUUAAGUAUACUUAAUUUCUG
rnacentral:tRNA from 1 species